rnacentral:tRNA from 1 species
GGUCCAGUGGAGCAAUGGUAGCUCGUCACUCUCUGGAGGUGUAGGUUGCAGGUUCGAAUCCUGUCUGGAUCG